rnacentral:lncRNA from 1 species
UGCAAUCAGAAUUUCAUCACCAUCCUCCUCUUCUUCCAUAUCUUGCAUCUAGUGUAUAUCUUCCCUAUUAUAUCAGUAUCAUCAUCAUCAUAAAGACAUAAGAAAGAGAUAUAAAAUUAUACCUCUUCACAACCGGAUUCCAUCAUAACUUUAAUAGAUCUGGUAACAAAUUCUGUAGCUGCAACACAACUCCAUAUGUCACCAACACAUUUAAAACGUACAAACCUUUUCUAACCCUAGACACGAGAUUAUUGGGGUGAUUGAAGGAAGGUACAAGUAAGGAGAGAUUGGGCCAGAGGUAGACGAAAUAGCGGUAGGUGAAGAUGGAGUAGGGUUCGCUGAUUUCUUCAUCAACAAGGCGAAUGGUAAGGGGCUAA